rnacentral:rRNA from 1 species
CCAAUAGCGUAUAUUAAAGUUGUUGCAGUUAAAAAGCUCGUAGUUGAACUUCGGGGUCUACCCAUUGGUCAGGCUUAAUUGUCUGUACUGGUGAGAUGGAUCUCUACCUUCUGAGGAACUUUCAUGCCAUUUAUUUGGUGUGAUUGGAAAUCAGGACUGUUACUUUGAAAAAAUUAGAGUGUUUAAAGCAGACUAUCGUCUGAAUACAUUAGCAUGGAAUAAUGAAAUAGGACGGACUGAUUCUAUUUCGUUGGUUUCUAGGAUCACCGUAAUGAUUAAUAGGGAUAGUUGGGGGCAUUAGUAUUCAAUUGUCAGAGGUGAAAUUCUUGGAUUUAUUGAAGACUAACUACUGCGAAAGCAUUUGCCAAGGAUGUUUUCAUUAAUCAAGAACGAAAGUUAGGGGAUCGAAGACGAUCAGAUACCGUCGUAGUCUUAACCAUAAACUAUGCCGACUAGGGAUCGGAUGAUGUUGAUUUUUUAAUGACUCAUUCGGCACCUUACG